rnacentral:ncRNA from 3 species
UACGGAGGGGGCUAGCGUUGUUCGGAAUUACUGGGCGUAAAGCGCACGUAGGCGGACUGGAAAGUUGGGGGUGAAAUCCCGGGGCUCAACCUCGGAACUGCCUUCAAAACUAUCAGUCUGGAGUUCGAGAGAGGUGAGUGGAAUUCCGAGUGUAGAGGUGAAAUUCGUAGAUAUUCGGAGGAACACCAGUGGCGAAGGCGGCUCACUGGCUCGAUACUGACGCUGAGGUGCGAAAGCGUGGGGAGCAAACAGG